AUUGAACGCUGGCGGCAUGCCUUACACAUGCAAGUCGAACGGUAGCGGGCCUUCGGGUGCCGACGAGUGGCGAACGGGUGAGUAAUGUAUCGGAACGUACCUUUCAGUGGGGGAUAACGUAGCGAAAGUUACGCUAAUACCGCAUAUUCUGUGCGCAGGAAAGCAGGGGAUCGCAAGACCUUGCGCUGAUUGAGCGGCCGAUAUCAGAUUAGCUAGUUGGUGAGGUAAAGGCUCACCAAGGCGACGAUCUGUAGCGGGUCUGAGAGGAUGAUCCGCCACACUGGAGCUGAGACACGGUCCAGACUCCUACGGGAGGCAGCAGUGGGGAAUUUUGGACAAUGGGGGCAACCCUGAUCCAGCCAUGCCGCGUGAGUGAAGAAGGCCUUCGGGUUGUAAAGCUCUUUCGGCCGGGAAGAAAUCGUAUCAGCUAAUACCUGGUGCGGAUGACGGUACCGGCAUAAGAAGCACCGGCUAACUACGUGCCAGCCGCCGCGGUAACAC
rnacentral:rRNA from 1 species